GGGCAGAAAGCAAAAUCUAAGGCCAGCAAAGAUAGGGACACUAAGGUGUUUUUAAAUACUAAGCAGAAGCAGGGGCUGAAUGAGCUCCCCCCUCACACCUAGUGACCAGCUGUGGGAAAGACUUCAAGAACAGACCGUGUUUGCCCAGACACACUUACUCUGUCUAGACUGUGCAGUGACGCCCUCCCCACCCCAGGCCUCUGGAGCCUUUGGAGCAGAAAGAUCCCAGGAGCUGAGGAGGAAUCCAGGGUGUCUAGGUUUGUUUUCAUCAAUUAAACAAAGGCACAUGAAGACACAUUUGCAGGUCCUUGGCCUCCAUGGGCUACAAUGUGCAGAAGAACAAGAACCACAUCCACUUGGGAGGAAUG